rnacentral:rRNA from 1 species
GGUCCUACGGGAGGCAGCAGUAGGGAAUAUUGCUCAAUGGGGGAAACCCUGAAGCAGCAACGCCGCGUGGAGGAUGAAGGUUUUCGGAUUGUAAACUCCUUUUGUUAGAGAAGAUAAUGACGGUAUCUAACGAAUAAGCACCAGCUAACUCCGUGCCAGCAGCCGCGGUAAUACGGAGGGUGCAGGCGUUACUCGGAAUCACAGGGCGUAAAGAGCGCGUAGGCGGGAUAGCAAGUGAGAUGUGAAAUCCUAUGGCUUAACCAUAGCAC